rnacentral:rRNA from 1 species
GCCUACGGGGGGCAGCAGUGAGGAAUAUUGGUCAAUGGCCGAGAGGCUGAACCAGCCAAGUCGCGUGAGGGAAGACGGCCCUACGGGUUGUAAACCUCUUUUGUCGGGGAGCAAAGAGAGUCACGUGUGACUCAUUGAGAGUACCCGAAGAAAAAGCAUCGGCUAACUCCGUGCCAGCAGCCGCGGUAAAAAGGAGGAUGCGAGCGUUAUCCGGAUUUAUUGGGUUUAAAGGGUGCGCAGGCGGAGGUGCAAGUCAGCGGGCAAAUUGCGGGGCUCAACCCCGUACUGCCGUUGAAACUGCAUCCCUUGAGUGCGCGAGAAGUAUGCGGAAUUCCUAGUGUAGCGGUGAAAUGCGUAGAUAUUAGGAGGAACACCAGUGGCGAAGGCGGCUUACUGGACUGUAACUGACGUUGAGGCUCGAAAGCGUGGGGAGCAAACAGGAUUAGAUACCCGAGUAGUC